rnacentral:lncRNA from 1 species
CCGCCGCGGCUGGAGGUUCCAUUGCAGACCCGGAGGCCGUGGCUGUGGUUCGCGGCGGUGCUGUCGCGGGCGACCUGGCGCAGCCCACGCAGGGGCUCCUGAGGAGAGACAUAAGACAUCAGUCAGCACAUGUGAGGUGUGCAUUUGAUUGAUCCAGAAAGUCAGGAUGACUCCAAGCGGAAAGGCCUCCAGAAACAGGAGACAGUAAAAGAAAUGGCCUCUCUCCUCCGUCAGAGUGGAAUCCCGAGCUCCCAGAAAUGCCAGGUGAUGGACAAACGCUUGGGGAAAAAAAAGGAAACCUCAGUCGGACACAAAAGCAUGAGCUUUAAAAGAAAAAAAUAAGAGAUAAGUUGAACUUCACCAAAAAAUAAAUGUUUCUGGUCUUUGAAAGACACUGAAAAUGAAAAGGCAAGCCAUCGACGGGGAAAAUAUUCAGAAUAAUGGAUCUGACAGGGCUGUAUCUAGAAUAUAUAAAGAUAUUUUAAAAUGCAGUAAUUUGACAUAAAGAUGGUAGCCAGCCUGACACACAAAGGAACCCGAAUGGCCAAUGGACAGAAAGGGAAGUGAACGUGAACGUCUCAUUGGGGAUGCCGUUAUCACCACUGGAAUAGUCAAAAACAUGGACACCAAAUAUUGGUGGGUGAGUGGAGUGGCCGGAACCCACAUACACGGUCGAUGGGGGCUGCACCCUUUGGAAAUCAUUUCACAGUUUGUGCUCCAUCCUGGCCAAACCCACAGCUGGAGUCUUUCCAAAAACAGCGAUGGGAGUUUCCACUAGGGAGUGCCUCAAACCAUCCCGAGAUGGGGUUGGUUGGGAUUCCAGGGAAAGAGGCGCUCGUUGCCAGGGUGAUCCGUCCAGAGCACUUACUAGGGGAUCUGGCAUAAGGAGGGCUGCAGUGUAUCCUCAGGACAGAUAGGACAGAUAGUGUACCUUUGGGACAGACAGCAAGACGGGGAUUCCACCCAGGUCUGUCUGCAGCGAGUUGAUAUGAGAGUUUAAGGAAUUUGGACCAGGGCUGCUUUGUUUCAGAGUUUUGGGCAAUGACCUACACACCUUUAUCAGUGCCUGGGAAUGCUAAAGGCCCAGCUUGAGUUCAGGCCUGCAGGGAAAACCUGCAACUGGCCGGGCUGCAGAGUGGUCAGGGCACAGAAAAAGCCAGAAGCUGGGGACACACCUGCCGUAUGAUCCAGCCAUUCGCCUUUACCUGGGAGAAAUGGCACCCCUUGGCUGAACAUAAUUUCUUACACACCCAUGAGUCCUCCUGGACAGGUGAUGUGACCUCAUGCAGCCUUGGGGGGCCCUGACACUCCAUGGACAGGCCAAGGGGUUUGCCUGGGCCCUGUGGGCACAGACCCCCUUGAGAUGGGUUUCCCUGUGCAGCCCUCACCCCCCGGGGACCCACAGCACUGCAGCCCUCACCCCCCCUCUGGAGACCCACAGCACUGCAGCCCCCCGC